rnacentral:ncRNA from 1 species
AUCAAUUGCUAGGGGUGCUUUCAAUAGCUGAAAGAGACGUUGGUCUCAACCCUUUGAACCUGAUCUGGUUAAUACCAGCGUAGGGAAGCAUAACAAAGCAGCU